UAAGACGUCAGUGCUGAACGCGGUGACAAAGCACACAUUAGAGAGGAGAUUCCAGCAUCUAGGCCAUGGGAUCUCAAGGGAGAACAAACGGUUACUGCCAAAUGUUGCAAAUCCUCACUGGUGCCACAGCACAAGGUCACACCAACACUGGAAAUGCAGCUUCCACUUUCCACAGAGAGCCUUUAAAUGAAAAGACCAUGCAACCUGCCCAUUAUAGCAUUGGGAAACCACUGCUCAUCAUCUUUGCAGAGCGGGAAGAAUGAGAUAAGAAGAACCAAAGAGCUGCUCCAGGAACAGGAGGAAGGAACACUGACCCAGCCCCGCUGGCAUUCUUCACCUUCAGAGCCAGAGGUUGCAGAGAAGAGACAGCUGUCUGCUCUCCUGCAUGCUGGGGUAGGCACACCCGUACUUAGCUCACCUGCAGUCUUCCCUUCACAUACACAUAUUCAGGGUCCUUACCGGCCUACAGAUAGGAUCAUUCAUCAAAAUUCAUUCUGUUUCUAUUUGUUUUUCUUAAUAUAAGUAAAUAAACAUUAAAAAAAAACAAAACCA